AACUUCUGAAUGUUGACCUCGGAUCAGGUAGGAAUACCCGCUGAACUUAAGCAUAUCAAUAAGCGGAGGAAAAGAAACCAACAGGGAUUGCCCUAGUAACGGCGAGUGAAGCGGCAACAGCUCAAAUUUGAAAUCUGGCUCUCGGGCCCGAGUUGUAAUUUGUAGAGGAUGCUUUUGAUGCGGUGCCUUCCGAGUUCCCUGGAACGGGACGCCAUAGAGGGUGAGAGCCCCGUCUGGUUGGAUGCCAAAUCUCUGUAAAGCUCCUUCGACGAGUCGAGUAGUUUGGGAAUGCUGCUCUAAAUGGGAGGUAUAUGUCUUCUAAAGCUAAAUACCGGCCAGAGACCGAUAGCGCACAAGUAGAGUGAUCGAAAGAUGAAAAGCACUUUGAAAAGAGAGUUAAAAAGUACGUGAAAUUGUUGAAAGGGAAGCGUUUAUGACCAGACUUGGGCUUGGUUAAUCAUCUGGGGUUCUCCCCAGUGCACUUUUCCAGUCCAGGCCAGCAUCAGUUUUCGCCGGGGGAUAAAGGCUUCGGGAAUGUGGCUCUCUCCGGGGAGUGUUAUAGCCCGUUGCGUAAUACCCUGGCGGGGACUGA
rnacentral:rRNA from 1 species